rnacentral:rRNA from 1 species
AUUGAACGCUGGCGGCGUGCCUAAUACAUGCAAGUCGAACGCAGUGGGGACGGGUGAGUAACACGUGGGUACCCUCCCCUCAGAGGGGAUAACACUUGGAAACAGGUGCUAAACCGAUACUGAUGGAUGGACCCGCGGUGCAUUAGCUAGUUGGUGAGUUAACGGCUCAACAAGGCCACGAUGCAUAGCGGACGUCGUCUGGUGGUCGGCCACAAUGGUACUGAGACACGGCCACGACUCCUACGGGAGGCAGCAGAAGGGAACCUUCGGCAAUGGACGAAAUUCUGACCGAGCAACGCCGCGUGAGUGAAGAAGGUUUGCGGACCGUAAAACUCUGUUGUGAGAGAAGCGGUAUCUAACCAGAAAGCCACGGCUAACUACGGGCCAGCCGCCGCGGUAAUUC